rnacentral:RNase_P_RNA from 14 species
GCGAAAUGAGCGAACGAAAGAACAGCGAAAAGAAGAAAGAGAGAGGGAGAGAGAGAGCGCAGCGCUCUUUGAUUGAGGUUGGGGGGGCUUAUCAUCCUCUCUCUUAUUCUUAUUCCUGGGCGUCUUCUUUCUUUCUUUCUUUCUCUCCUUUUGUUGGAUUUGGAUCAGACAGGAAGAAGAGGAAGAGGAAGAGGAAAAAGAAAAGAAAAGAAACGAAA